rnacentral:rRNA from 1 species
AUUGAACGCUAGCGGGAUGCUUUACACAUGCAAGUCGAACGAGCGGCGGACGGGUGAGUAAUGUAUGGGGACUGCCCGCUAGAGGGGGAUAACUACUGGAAACGGUAGCUAAUACCGCAUACUAUCGGAUAACCCAUAUGGGAUUAGCUAGUAGGUGAGGUAAUGGCUCACCUAGGCGACGAUCCCUAGCUGGUCUGCGAGGAUGAUCAGCGACACUGGGACUUAGACACUGCCCAUACGCCUACGGAGGCAGCAGUGGUGAAUAUUGCACAAUGGGCACAAGCCUGAUGCAUCCAUGCCGCGUGUAUGAAGAGGGCCCUAGGGGUGUAAAGUACUUUCAGUCGGGAGGCGUUACCGACAGAAGAAGCACCGGCUAACUCCGUGCCAGCAGCCGCGGUAAUUC